GAUGAACGCUGGCGGCGUGCCUAAUACAUGCAAGUCGAGCGAACAGAUAAGGAGCUUGCUCCUUUGACGUUAGCGGCGGACGGGUGAGUAACACGUGGGUAACCUACCUAUAAGACUGGAAUAACUCCGGGAAACCGGGGCUAAUGCCGGAUAACAUUUAGAACCGCAUGGUUCUAUAGUGAAAGAUGGUUUUGCUAUCACUUAUAGAUGGACCCGCGCCGUAUUAGCUAGUUGGUAAGGUAACGGCUUACCAAGGCAACGAUACGUAGCCGACCUGAGAGGGUGAUCGGCCACAGUGGAACUGAGACACGGUCCAGACUCCGACGGGAGGCAGCAGUAGGGAAUCUUCCGCAAUGGGCGAAAGCCUGACGGAGCAACGCCGCGUGAGUGAUGAAGGUCUUCGGAUCGUAAAACUCUGUUAUUAGGGAAGAACAAAUGUGUAAGUAACUGUGCACGUCUUGACGGUACCUAAUCAGAAAGCCACGGCUAACUACGUG
rnacentral:rRNA from 1 species